rnacentral:rRNA from 1 species
CAGCCGCCGCGGUAACACGUAGGUGGCAAGCGUUGUCCGGAACUAUUGGGCGUAAAGGGCUCGCAGGCGGUUUCUUAAGUCUGAUGUGAAAGCCCCCGGCUCAACCGGGGAGGGUCAUUGGAAACUGGGAAACUUGAGUGCAGAAGAGGAGAGUGGAAUUCCACGUGUAGCGGUGAAAUGCGUAGAGAUGUGGAGGAACACCAGUGGCGAAGGCGACUCUCUGGUCUGUAACUGACGCUGAGGAGCGAAAGCGUGGGGAGCGAACAGGAUUAGAUACCCCUGUAGUCCCUGUCUCUUAUAC